GCGGGUAUGGUCUAAUGGUAGAAUUCCUCCUUGCCAAGGAGAAGGCACGGGUUCGAUUCCCGUUACCCGCC
rnacentral:tRNA from 1 species